AGAGUUUGAUCCUGGCUCAGAAUGAACGCUGGNGGCAUGCCUAACACAUGCAAGUCGAACGAAGGCUUCGGCCUUAGUGGCGCACGGGUGCGUAACGCGUGGGAAUCUGCCCUUGGGUUUGGAAUAACAGUUAGAAAUGACUGCUAAUACCAAAUGAUGUCGUAAGACCAAAGAUUUAUCGNCCAAGGAUGAGCCCGCGUAGGAUUAGCUAGUUGGUGAGGUAAAAGCUCACCAAGGCGACCAUCCUUAGCUGGUCUGAGAGGAUGAUCAGCCACACUGGGACUGAGACACGGCCCAGACUCCUACGGGAGGCAGCAGUGGGGAAUAUUGGACAAUGGGCGAAAGCCUGAUCCAGCAAUGCCGCGUGAGUGAUGAAGGCCUUAGGGUUGUAAAGCUCUUUUACCCGGGAUGAUAAUGACAGUACCGGGAGAAUAAGCUCCGGCUAACUCCGUGCCAGCAGCCGCGGUAAUACGGAGGGAGCUAGCGUUAUUCGGAAUUACUGGGCGUAAAGCGUACGUAGGCGGCUUUGCAAGUUAGAGGUGAAAGCCUGGAGCUCAACUCCAGAACUGCCUUUAAAACUGCAUCGCUUGAAUCCAGGAGAGGUGAGUGGAAUUCCGANUGUAGAGGUGAAAUUCGUANAUAUUCGGAAGAACACCAGUGGCGAAGGCGGCUCACUGGACUGGGUAUU
rnacentral:rRNA from 1 species